rnacentral:tRNA from 1 species
AGGGUGGUAUAUCAGCGGUAGAUUACACGCUUUGGGCGCGUGAGGUCGUCGGUUCAAAUCCGGCUCACCCUA